rnacentral:rRNA from 1 species
UACGUAGGGUGCGAGCGUUGUCCGGAAUCACUGGGCGUAAAGCGCACGUAGGCGGAUGUGUCAGUCAGGGGUGAAAUCCCGGAGCUCAACUUCGGAACUGCCUUUGAUACAGCACGUCUUGAGUCCGGAAGAGGUGGGUGGAAUUCCUAGUGUAGAGGUGAAAUUCGUAGAUAUUAGGAAGAACACCGGUGGCGAAGGCGGCCCACUGGUCCGGUACUGACGCUGAGGUGCGAAAGCGUGGGGAGCAAACAGG